rnacentral:rRNA from 1 species
AGCAGCCGCGGUAAUUCCAGCUCCAAUAGCGUAUAUUAAAGUUGUUGCAGUUAAAAAGCUCGUAGUUGAAUUUCGGGAUCAAUGUUUCGGUCAUGCCGUUGGUAUGUGCUGAUAUUAUUGGUUUCUCACCUUCUAAAGAACCGUAAUGCCAUUAAUUUGGUGUCACGGGGAAUUAGGACUGUUACCUUGAAAAAAUUAGAGUGUUUAAAGCAGGCUCACGCUUGAAUACAUUAGCAUGGAAUAAUGAAAUAGGACAUCCGAUUCUAUUUUGUUGGUUUCUAGGAUCGAUGUAAUGAUUAAUAGGGAUAGUUGGGGGCAUUAGUAUUCAAUUGUCAGAGGUGAAAUUCUUGGAUUUAUUGAAGACUAACUACUGCGAAAGCAUUUGCCAAGGAUGUUUUCAUUAAUCAAGAACGAAAGUUAGGGGAUCGAAGACGAUCAGAUACCGUCGUAGUCUUAACCAUAAACUAUGCCGACUAGGGAUCGGAUGAUGUUAAUUUUAUAAUGACUC